AUUCUCCCCAUCUUUUACGACAGAAACCAGAGAGAGAUAGAGAGAGAGAGAUCUUCCGGCCUUCCGGCGCCUAUUCCGACAAUUUCCAACAGCAAAAAUGGGCGACAUACCGAACUCUUGCUCGAUGAAGAAACUCGUAUGCGUGAUCACCUGAAUAGUACUUUUGCAGGCGAAAUUAGUUGAGGUCGGGCGUACAUUGGAGUUGAGGCAUAGUCAACUACAUGGCUUACUCAUUUUUAUUUGAUUUAGGAAGGAGUGACACAAGGCGAUCAAUAUGCAAUUGAGUUGUUUUUCACAUAACAACAUCAAUGGUCAUGUACACGUUCAGCGAGACGUUGGGUCCUUGGAAUUUGAAUUGCAACAGUCUAAAGAUCUAGGCCGUAGAUCUCUUCCAUUUUUUCAAAAUAAUCCGCUGAAAAUUUUUCUUGUAGAAAAUUAUGUUCCAAUGGUUAUAAACUAAUUGAAAAAAAAAUCCAAAAGAGAUUGUAAAAACAAUUACUAUAAAUUUCUAGCCAAAAAAAUG